rnacentral:rRNA from 1 species
UGUGUAGGUGGUUGGGUAAGUUAGAUGUGAAAUCCCCGGGCUUAACCUGGGAACUGCGUUUAAAACUGCUCGACUAGAGUAUUGCAGAGGGUAGUGGAAUUUCCAGUGUAGCGGUGAAAUGCGUAGAUAUUGGAAGGAACACCAGUGGCGAAGGCGACUACCUGGGCAAAUACUGACACUGAGACACGAAAGCAUGGGGAGCAAACAGGAUUAGAUACCCUGGUAGUCCAUGCUGUAAACUAUGAGAACUUGCUGUUGGAUGCAUAAAGGCAUUUAGUAGCGAAGCUAACGCGUUAAGUUCUCCGCCUGGGGAGUACGGUCGCAAGACUAAA